AGCCAAUCUAACUGUUUACUUAAAACCAAAGCAUUGUCUCCAUUGUCUUGAAAACUGCAUUGUAAAAUUCAUACAGGUUGAUAGAAGUCGUGAUUUAUGUCUUAUAAAGAUGCAUCUUCUAUUGCAAAUCGGUCUGAUAUAUUCGUUGAUCGUGGGAUGUUUCGGAGGGACUCCUGGACUUCCUGACUGCUCCGUGGUUAGAUGUCCGGCUCUUGCUUGCACCGACCCAUACACACCGCCCGGCCAGUGUUGUCCUAUUUGCAGAAUAAGAAUGGUUCGCCUAAAUGACAGCUCCGCAGUAAGAUGUCCGGCUCUUGCUUGCACAGACCCAUACACACCGCCCGGCCAGAGUUGUCCUAUUUGCAGAAUAAGAAUGGUUCGCCUAAAUGACAGCUCCGCAGUAAGAUGUCCAGCUCUUGCUUGCACCGACCCAUACACACCGCCCGGCCAGAGUUGUCCUAUUUGCAGAAUAAGAAUGGUUCGCCUAAAUGACAGCUCCGCAGUAAGAUGUCCGGCUCUUGCUUGCACCGACCCAUACACGCCGCCCGGCCAGAGUUGUCCUAUUUGCAGAAUAAGAAGGGUUCACCUAAAUGACAGCUCCGCAGUAAGAUGUCCGGCUCUUGCUUGCACCGACUCAUACACACCGUCCGGCCAGAGUUGUCCUAUUUGCAGAAUAAGAAGGGCUCGCCUACCUGACAGCUCCGUAGUAAGAUGUCCGGUUCUUGGUUGCCGCGACCAAUACACACCGCCCGGCCAGAGUUGUCCUAUUUGCAGAGGAAGUAGGGCUCGCCUACCUGACAGCUCCGUAGUAAGCUGUCCGGUUCUUGGUUGCCGCGACCAAUACACACCGCGAGGCCAGAGUUGUCCUGUUUGCAGAGGACAUUAGCCGCGUUUUUGAAAAGGAAAAAGGUGCAAAGGCGGCAUGCAUUUCAAUCACAACGGCAAUAUAAAUUGGUGUUUCAACUGAUCAGAGACAUGUACAAAAAUGGAUGGCCUAUGUAUUAAAUGCAGAUUGAAA